ACGAACGCUGGCGGCGUGCCUAAUACAUGCAAGUUGAGCGCUGAAGGUUGGUACUUGUACCAACUGGAUGAGCAGCGAACGGGUGAGUAACGCGUGGGGAAUCUGCCUUUGAGCGGGGGACAACAUUUGGAAACGAAUGCUAAUACCGCAUAAAAACUUUAAACACAAGUUUUAAGUUUGAAAGAUGCAAUUGCAUCACUCAAAGAUGAUCCCGCGUUGUAUUAGCUAGUUGGUGAGGUAAAGGCUCACCAAGGCGAUGAUACAUAGCCGACCUGAGAGGGUGGUCGGCCACAUUGGGACUGAGACACGGCCCAAACUCCUACGGGAGGCAGCAGUAGGGGAUCUUCGGCAAUGGACGAAAGUCUGACCGAGCAACGCCGCGUGAGUGAAGAAGGUUUUCGGAUCGUAAAACUCUGUUGGUAGGGAAGAACGUUGGUGAGAGUGGAAAGCGCAUCAAGUGACGGUAACUACCCAGAAAGGGACGGCUAACUACGUG
rnacentral:rRNA from 1 species